rnacentral:rRNA from 1 species
GACGAACGCUGGCGGCGUGCCUAAUACAUGCAAGUAGAACGCUGAAGAGAGGAGCUUGCUCUUCUUGGAUGAGUUGCGAACGGGUGAGUAACGCGUAGGUAACCUGCCUUGUAGCGGGGGAUAACUAUUGGAAACGAUAGCUAAUACCGCAUAACAAUGGAUGACCCAUGUCAUUUAUUUGAAAGGGGCAAAUGCUCCACUACAAGAUGGACCUGCGUUGUAUUAGCUAGUAGGUGAGGUAACGGCUCACCUAGGCGACGAUACAUAGCCGACCUGAGAGGGUGAUCGGCCACACUGGGACUGAGACACGGCCCAGACUCCUACGGGAGGCAGCAGUAGGGAAUCUUCGGCAAUGGGGGCAACCCUGACCGAGCAACGCCGCGUGAGUGAAGAAGGUUUUCGGAUCGUAAAGCUCUGUUGUAAGUCAAGAACGAGUGUGAGAGUGGAAAGUUCACACUGUGACGGUAGCUUACCAGAAAGGGACGGCUAACUACGUGCCAGCAGCCGCGGUAAUACGUAGGUCCCGAGCGUUGUCCGGAUUUAUUGGGCGUAAAGCGAGCGCAGGCGGUUUGAUAAGUCUGAAGUUAAAGGCUGUGGCUCAACCAUAGUUCGCUUUGGAAACUGUCAAACUUGAGUGCAGAGGGGGAGAGUGGAAUUCCAUGUGUAGCGGUGAAAUGCGUGGAUAUAUGGAGGAACACCGGUGGCGAAAGCGGCUCUCUGGUCUGUAACUGACGCUGAGGCUCGAAAGCGUGGGGAGCGAACAGG